ensembl:lncRNA
GUAGUAAUGAUGAUGGUAGUGAUAGCAGUUUAGUGAUGGUGGUGGUAGUAGUAGUAAUGAUGAUGGUAGUGAUAGCAGUUUAGUGAUGGUGGUGGUAGUAGUAAUGAUGAUGGUAGUGAUAGCAGUUUAGUGAUGGUGGUGGUAGUAGUAAUAAUGAUGAUGGUAGUGAUAGCAGUUUAGUGAUGGUGGUGGUAGUAGUAAUGAUGAUGGUAGUGAUAGCAGUUUAGUGAUGGUGGUGGUAGUAGUAAUGAUGAUGGUAGUGAUAGCAGUUUAGUGAUGGUGGUGGUAGUAGUAAUAAUGAUGAUGGUAGUGAUAGCAGUUUAGUGAUGGUGGUGGUUGUAGUAAUGAUGAUGAUGGUAGUGAUAGCAGUUUAGUGAUGGUGGUGGUAGUAGUAAUGCUGAUGAUGGUAGUGAUAGCAGUUUAGUGAUGGUGGUGGUAGUAAUGAUGAUG